UACGUAGGGUGCAAGCGUUAAUCGGAAUUACUGGGCGUAAAGCGUGCGCAGGCGGUCUGUUAAGACAGUUGUGAAAUCCCCGGGCUUAACCUGGGAACUGCAUUUGAGACUGGCGGGCUAGAGUAUGGCAGAGGGAGGUAGAAUUCCACGUGUAGCAGUGAAAUGCGUAGGGAUGGGGAGGAACACCGGUGGCGAAGGCAGCCCCCUGGGCCAAUACUGACGCUCAUGCACGAAAGCGUGGGGAGCAAACAGG
rnacentral:rRNA from 1 species